rnacentral:lncRNA from 1 species
AUGCCUGAGCCUCAGGCUUGGCUUGGCUGGUCUUCCUUCAGCCCCCUCAAGCCUGAAGGUGUGCUUUCUCUCCUGAGCUCCUCAGUCUGUCCAACCACCUUCCGAGCCCUUUCCCUUCGUCCCCAGCCCCCCGUGGGUUUCUUUGCUGUGGGGCAGAGCUGUGCCACCAGAUGCCCAUCCGCUGGGGCAGAGGCAGGAGGAUUUGGGAGGUUGGAUGCUGCUGGUCAGUCCCACGGCACGGCUGCCUCUCCCUGCCCCACUGCCCUUGGGGCAGAGCUGGGUGCUCCGUGCAGAGGUUUCAUCUUUGGGGCAGUCCCCCCCGUUGGGGAGAGCGGCGGCUGCAGUGCCCUCCCUGAGGGACCGAGCGUGGGGGUGGUCUCUGGGAGGGUGGUGCAGGCACAGGCGUCGUCCUUUCUGCCAAAACCUCUGCCUCCAUCUCACGUCCCACCCUCGGGGGGCAGGAGGCCGCCCUGCCGGGGGUCUCCACGCCGGUAUUUCUGUUCCUCUGCUUUUGGACACCUCUUGCUCCUCAAGCCUUGCGACACCCCCCUGCUCCAGCCCAGCACCCGCUGCGGUGGGAGGAGAGGGAGGAAGACUCGUGCCCUGGUCCAUCUUGGCAGGAUCCAGCUGCGGGCACCAGUUCGGGAGAGCAAAGGGGUUUGUGCUUCAAAAUGGGGUGUCCUGGGUCCCGAGGCCUUUUGCCCAAGAGCAUCCCUGUGCCCUGUGUCCCGGGGCAGCCGCGGAGCUCCCCGCAGCCGCGAGCCGGGGACACGGCGGUUCCCCCCUCUCCCGGUGCCACGUCUUCCCAAAUCACUUGAAACCCACCAGCUUUUGAGCAAACCUUGUAACGCGGGGCCUCUGGGGGAGGGAAGGAGCCGGGGGUGGGGGCCAUCGUGUGCCCCCCCUGCCAGUGGUGGUUCGUUUGCCAGGAGAGGAGAAAGAGGCACCCGGGGAAGCGGAGCAGGGACGACCCCAACCACGCGCUGGGACCUCGGGUCAGAAAUGACCCAUUUUUCUACGGAAGGUUCCAGCUCGUUGGGGGAACGGGAGCGUUACUGGGUUGCUCUUUCUAUAUAUUUUUGUAGGACGGGGUGGGGUGGGGGCGGNNNNNNNNNNGAGAUGCCUGCGGAAGUUGUUUAUUUUUAA